GACGAACGCUGGCGGCGUGCUUAACACAUGCAAGUGGUGCGACGAACCAGGGCUUGCCCUGGGGCAAAGCCGCGAACGGGUGAGUAACACGUGGGUAAUCUGCCCCGAUGACCGGGACAACCCGAGGAAACUCGGGCUAAUACCGGAUGUGGUGCCUUGGCGCAAGCCUUGUCACUAAAGGAAGCUUCGGCCUCCGCAUUGGGAGGAGCCCGCGGCCCAUUAGCUAGUUGGUGGGGUAACGGCCUACCAAGGCGACGAUGGGUAGCUGGUCUGAGAGGACGAUCAGCCACACUGGGACUGAGACACGGCCCCAGACUCCUACGGGAGGCAGCAGUGGGGAAUCUUGCGCAAUGCGCGAAAGCGUGACGCAGCAACGCCGCGUGGGGGAAGACGGCC
rnacentral:rRNA from 1 species